UACGGAGGGUGCAAGCGUUGCUCGGAAUUAUUGGGCGUAAAGGGUAGGUAGGUGGUCUCAUUUGUCUGGGGUGAAAGCCUUGAGCUUAACUCAAGAAGUGCCCCAGAAACGGUGAGACUAGAGUCUUGGAGAGGGUCGUGGAAUUCCCGGUGUAGCGGUGAAAUGCGUAGAGAUCCGGAGGAACACCAGAGGCGAAGGCGGCCUACUGGGCUGCACCUGACGCUGAGCCGCGAAAGCCAGGGGAGCGAACGGG
rnacentral:rRNA from 1 species